rnacentral:rRNA from 1 species
UACGUAGGGUGCGAGCGUUAAUCGGAAUUACUGGGCGUAAAGCGUGCGCAGGCGGCUUUGCAAGACAGGCGUGAAAUCCCCGGGCUCAACCUGGGAAUUGCGCUUGUGACUGCAAAGCUGGAGUGCGGCAGAGGGGGAUGGAAUUCCGCGUGUAGCAGUGAAAUGCGUAGAUAUGCGGAGGAACACCGAUGGCGAAGGCAAUCCCCUGGGCCUGCACUGACGCUCAUGCACGAAAGCGUGGGGAGCGAACAGG